AGCUCUAGAACAUGAACCUGUGAAGAAGUGAAAAACUGGUUUCCUGUUUUCUGCACUGCAGAUUAAAGCAUCUCCAGGUUGCAGACGAACAGAUAAAGAUAAGUCCUCCAGCAACAAGAACUAUAUCCAGUAGACAAAAUGUGUAUGCACUGAAGUUUCAUACAGGGAAAAAAAUUGUACUUCCCAGUUUGCUCACAAGUCAGCACAGAGAUAUGCCUGACAUCAUGAAUAAACCCACUUGGGAUUACCUCCAAGAAAUUUAUGUCAUGAGUCUGUCAAAGCUCUCCUCCUCCUCUGUCUUCAAUCUUUUCUUCACUCUCCUACUUCAAGCUCAUAUUCCUCCAAGCCAAGUCCAUACUUCUCUUUUUCUACUACACUCCCACUUUCCAAAGCUCUCAUUCCAACUGUAGACAAGCACAGAACCCUGCAUGAAACGAUUUACUGUUCACAAAACACUUCUGAACAAGCUAUGAAGAAGACACAGAGAUCUGUACCCCACCUUAUCCUGCAGCUAGCUAUCAAAAUACACCUGUGUUUGUAUUGCUGUUGGGGGCAGCUGCUAUCAUUUGUAGAUAGUAAAUAACACGAAGAAAUUCCUUUCAUAUAUAUUUCUGAUCUUGCAUUUUCAUGCUAGUUUGGAACAGCC
rnacentral:lncRNA from 1 species